rnacentral:tRNA from 1 species
UCCCUGGUGGUCCGGUGGCUAAGACUCUGCACUCCCAAUGCAGGGGCCUGGGAUUGAUUCCUGGUCAGAGAA